UUUUAUUUCAUCCAUGUAUUUUGUUAACAAUUAUUUUCUUUAAAUUAUUCGUUACAGUAAAGGAUUGUAAUUUUCGUUUUGAAUGUCAACAAUUAAUCCCCUUGUUACAGAGGUUAUAGGUUUGCAAUUCUACGAUGCAUACAAUUAUUCUUGGAUUACGAAUGCAAGAUAAAUGAAUUAAAUAAGAAAAGAAAUACUUUAAAUGUGCAUCUCCAUUGAAUUUUGUCUUCUAAAAGCGGGAUUACAGGAUUGUAAAGGAGAUCUUUUAGCAAGAAAAGGAACUAUUUUAGACAAGGACAGAGCAUGUGAUAUUUAUCUCUUGUCAUUUAUAGCACAAUAGUAAAACUAACCUGCUGGUAAUAGGAUAGUAGAUUGUAUAGAGGUAUUAAACAAAGAGGAUAAAUCCUGAAAAAGGAUGCAAUGAGUUAUACCAACUUGAAUUAGACGCGCCUGGUACCGUGAAGCGCAGUGAGCCACUGCGCAGAUAGUGGGUGGAGCUAAGAGGGUAUGUAUACAUACACCUUUACUAGUUAGGGAGCGGCAGUAGUCUAAAGCUCCUGGUAGAAGAAGCACAGGAGUGCCAGGAGGUUUAAUUACGAACCGUUUGGGCGAUAAGAUUCUAAUUACGGUAUUAUUGAUAAUUACUCAGUGCCAGCCCUGAGAUUUCAGGGGCCCUAGGUGGGCCCCUUCAAAUAUAUAACACAUAUGUACCUCAAAUAAAAUUUAUAAAAUUAACAUUAAAGCUUGUAUAACUAAUUUAGAUUAAUGUUCAAGUAAAAAUUACUCUUCUUGCAUUCUUAGACGCAAAAUCGUGUUAUGGAGUCCUUGGACCCUGGGGGGCCCUAGGUCCAGGGCCGGCCCUACUUACUUACUUAUUACUAUAGAAAGAAAGAUUUAUAAUUUAAAACACGUACAACGGUACUGCACUUAAUUUUUAUUUAGUUUGCACCAUACAACAGUUUACAAAUUUUCUAGUAUUCCAUUAUUUAUUUACACGCUACUAUAAUUUCGCCUGAGAGUGCUAUCCUGUAGCAACUUUCACAUAUUAUUUCUCCAAAUAUUCUAUGAUAUAAUGAUUAUGUAUAUUCAAGCACUUAACAUUCCUAAUUCUUUUACACUUUAUCUAAAAUUUCUGAUUACAAAACACUUGUAAAUGUAAUUGCAAUUAUAACAAUAAAUUUUGAUAAGAUAGCAUCAGCUUCUAAUUCAAACGGUAAAAAAAAA